rnacentral:rRNA from 1 species
GGGAGGAGCCCAGAGCCUGAAUCAGUGUGUGUGUUAGUGGAAGCGUCUGGAAAGGCGCGCGAUACAGGGUGACAGCCCCGUACACAAAAAUGCACAUACUGUGAGCUCGAUGAGUAGGGCGGGACACGUGGUAUCCUGUCUGAAUAUGGGGGGACCAUCCUCCAAGGCUAAAUACUCCUGACUGACCGAUAGUGAACCAGUACCGUGAGGGAAAGGCGAAAAGAACCCCGGCGAGGGGAGUGAAAAAGAACCUGAAACCGUGUACGUACAAGCAGUGGGAGCCUCUUAAUGGGGUGACUGCGUACCUUUUGUAUAAUGGGUCAGCGACUUAUAUUCUGUAGCAAGGUUAACCGAAUAGGGGAGCCGAAGGGAAACCGAGUCUUAACUGGGCGUUAAGUUGCAGGGUAUAGACCCGAAACCCGGUGAUCUAGCCAUGGGCAGGUUGAAGGUUGGGUAACACUAACUGGAGGACCGAACCGACUAAUGUUGAAAAAUUAGCGGAUGACUUGUGGCUGGGGGUGAAAGGCCAAUCAAACCGGGAGAUAGCUGGUUCUCCCCGAAAGCUAUUUAGGUAGCGCCUCGUGAAUUCAUCUCCGGGGGUAGAGCACUGUUUCGGCAAGGGGGUCAUCCCGACUUACCAACCCGAUGCAAACUGCGAAUACCGGAGAAUGUUAUCACGGGAGACACACGGCGGGUGCUAACGUCCGUCGUGAAGAGGGAAACAACCCAGACCGCCAGCUAAGGUCCCAAAGUCAUGGUUAAGUGGGAAACGAUGUGGGAAGGCCCAGACAGCCAGGAUGUUGGCUUAGAAGCAGCCAUCAUUUAAAGAAAGCGUAAUAGCUCACUGGUCGAGUCGGCCUGCGCGGAAGAUGUAACGGGGCUAAACCAUGCACCGAAGCUGCGGCAGCGACACUAUGUGUUGUUGGGUAGGGGAGCGUUCUGUAAGCCUGUGAAGGUGUACUGUGAGGUAUGCUGGAGGUAUCAGAAGUGCGAAUGCUGACAUAAGUAACGAUAAAGCGGGUGAAAAGCCCGCUCGCCGGAAGACCAAGGGUUCCUGUCCAACGUUAAUCGGGGCAGGGUGAGUCGACCCCUAAGGCGAGGCCGAAAGGCGUAGUCGAUGGGAAACAGGUUAAUAUUCCUGUACUUGGUGUUACUGCGAAGGGGGGACGGAGAAGGCUAUGUUGGCCGGGCGACGGUUGUCCCGGUUUAAGCGUGUAGGCUGGUUUUCCAGGCAAAUCCGGAAAAUCAAGGCUGAGGCGUGAUGACGAGGCACUACGGUGCUGAAGCGACAAAUGCCCUGCUUCCAGGAAAAGCCUCUAAGCAUCAGGUAACAUCAAAUCGUACCCCAAACCGACACAGGUGGUCAGGUAGAGAAUACCAAGGCGCUUGAGAGAACUCGGGUGAAGGAACUAGGCAAAAUGGUGCCGUAACUUCGGGAGAAGGCACGCUGAUAUGUAGGUGAAGCGACUUGCUCGUGGAGCUGAAAUCAGUCGAAGAUACCAGCUGGCUGCAACUGUUUAUUAAAAACACAGCACUGUGCAAACACGAAAGUGGACGUAUACGGUGUGACGCCUGCCCGGUGCCGGAAGGUUAAUUGAUGGGGUUAGCGGUAACGCGAAGCUCUUGAUCGAAGCCCCGGUAAACGGCGGCCGUAACUAUAACGGUCCUAAGGUAGCGAAAUUCCUUGUCGGGUAAGUUCCGACCUGCACGAAUGGCGUAAUGAUGGCCAGGCUGUCUCCACCCGAGACUCAGUGAAAUUGAACUCGCUGUGAAGAUGCAGUGUACCCGCGGCAAGACGGAAAGACCCCGUGAACCUUUACUAUAGCUUGACACUGAACAUUGAGCCUUGAUGUGUAGGAUAGGUGGGAGGCUUUGAAGUGUGGACGCCAGUCUGCAUGGAGCCGACCUUGAAAUACCACCCUUUAAUGUUUGAUGUUCUAACGUGGGCCCCUUACCGGGGUUGCGGACAGUGUCUGGUGGGUAGUUUGACUGGGGCGGUCUCCUCCUAAAGAGUAACGGAGGAGCACGAAGGUUGGCUAAUCCUGGUCGGACAUCAGGAGGUUAGUGCAAUGGCAUAAGCCAGCUUGACUGCGAGCGUGACGGCGCGAGCAGGUGCGAAAGCAGGUCAUAGUGAUCCGGUGGUUCUGAAUGGAAGGGCCAUCGCUCAACGGAUAAAAGGUACUCCGGGGAUAACAGGCUGAUACCGCCCAAGAGUUCAUAUCGACGGCGGUGUUUGGCACCUCGAUGUCGGCUCAUCACAUCCUGGGGCUGAAGUAGGUCCCAAGGGUAUGGCUGUUCGCCAUUUAAAGUGGUACGCGAGCUGGGUUUAGAACGUCGUGAGACAGUUCGGUCCCUAUCUGCCGUGGGCGCUGGAGAACUGAGGGGGGCUGCUCCUAGUACGAGAGGACCGGAGUGGACGCAUCACUGGUGUUCGGGUUGUCAUGCCAAUGGCACUGCCCGGUAGCUAAAUGCGGAAGAGAUAAGUGCUGAAAGCAUCUAAGCACGAAACUUGCCCCGAGAUGAGUUCUCCCUGACUCCUUGAGAGUCCUGAAGGAACGUUGAAGACGACGACGUUGAUAGGCCGGGUGUGUAAGCGCAGCGAUGCGUUGAGCUAACCGGUACUAAUGAACCGUGAGGCUUAACCUU